AUGACAUAUCCCAAUAGUGCGGGGGCGUGCACCCCAUUUCAGGAUAUAAGCAACAACCAAACAUUGGGUAACUAUCAUCAAUCGGUUCCUACUUUGCGCUACUGUUUUGCUGUUGCUUAUGUGCAAAAUUUAAUGGCAUGUAUUUAUACAUACCUUGAAGAAUUGAAGAGGCAGAGGAAAAAAGAGUAUUAUGCACGCAAUAAAGAUGAUAUUCUUAAAAGACGUCGUGAAGCCCGUGAGAAGAAACAGGCUUCAACAUCACUGCUUAAUGACGAGAAAAAUGUACCACAUACACCCCUGGCCAUGUCCGAAGAUAAAAGUGCCCUUGUACUGCAUGCUUAUUUAUUAUUCAGAUAA
rnacentral:rRNA from 1 species